rnacentral:lncRNA from 1 species
ACUUAUUAAAAAAUGGCGUUCAGACCUUAAUAAUUAUCUUUUCUCUAAAUAAUUCUUUUUUUUCUCUUCAGGUCCAGAUCAUUUGCUAAUGCUCCUCCUGAACGUGUUAAAUUCGAAAGCAGAGAGCUGAUUGUACACGUACCUUUGGAAUACGUACUUACUGGAACUCAGUCAGAUAUAUGGGUAGAAAGGCAAAAAGACAAUAUAAAUUGUUCCUCCAACAAGACCACUGUCAUCCUUAAACAUUUAGUCAAAUAUAGUUCCCCUGACAUACAGAAAAAGGUAAGGUCAGCUGGAAAUCUGAUGCUAAGCUGGCCCAAAACAGAAGAUAACAAAGGUGCGAUUCAUGAGAUCAGAUGGAAGAAGAUUAAUGCUUCAUGGCAGAAUGACACUUUUGAGACUGAGGACAAUAAAACAGACCCAUGGGACUCCUACCGUCUGCCGUUGCAGAUCCACUCAGUGUACCAGGUCCAGAUUAGACGCAAGACCAAGCAAUACCACAUCUGGAGUGAGUGGAGCAACACUGUUGACGUUCCUGUCGAAAUUAAAGCACCCGUUGUCCACUGGAGACAAGAAAAGAAAAAAGGCAGGAGGAAAGUUACUCUCAAAUGGGAUGUUCCACCUCCUGAAGCCAGUUCCAGUGGUGUCACAUAUAACCUGACUUUAAAUUUUCCUUGUAAAACUAAAAAUAAAACCACAAAAGAGACGUCUUACAGCUUGACAGCAGCUGAUUCUGAACUUAGGGUGUCUAUCAUUGCUAUCAAUGACGUAUCCACAUCACCGUUUCAAGAGAUUAUCAUACCACCUGUCCAGCAUUUAAAACGUAAGUAUUGUUGGAAAUGUGUGUAUGCGUGUGUGUGUGUGUGUGUGUGUGUGUGUGUUUGUGUGUGUGUGCAACUGACAGUCGAGUAAAACUCUGAUUCACAACAAUAGCUGCCAGCAUAUGUCCCGGACGAGCCCCCAAUUAUGUUACGGCCUGGAAAGCCAGACCAGUAACAUAUGCUAGGACGACAUAGUUGGUUUCACUCAAUUUUGAAUCAACAACAUAAGGACCGGUAAACCGAGCCUGUAAAGCAGAACCCACAACUGGUAGCAACACAAGUACCUUAUCACCCUCACUGAACGUGCGGGGUACAGACUUUUUAUCGAACCUCUUCUUCAUUUUCUCCUGAGCUGAACCCAGCUGUGUCUGAGCAAAUUUACAAGCAUGCUGAAGACGGUCACGAAACUCACUAACGUAAUCCAGCACGUUUGUCGACACAUAUCUUUCAGACAACAACUCUUCGCGAAGAAGCCGAAGUGGACCUCUAACCGUGUGCGCAAAAAUUAAGUCCGCAGGACUAAACCCUAACGACUCUUGCACGGUCUCCCGGAUCGCGAACAGCAACAAGGGAAUACCCUCAUCCCAUUCCUUACCUGUAUCUAAACAGAAAGUGCGCAGCAUGGAUUUUAAUGUCUGAUGGAAUCUUUCCAAAGCGCCCUGGGAUUCAGGAUGCCAUGCGCUAGAGAACUUAUGCUCAAUGCCGAGCU